GACGAACGCUGGCGGCGUGCUUAACACAUGCAAGUCGAACGGAAAGGCCCUGCUUUUGUGGGGUGCUCGAGUGGCGAACGGGCGAGUAACACGUGAGUAACCUGCCCUUGACUUUGGGAUAACUUCAGGAAACUGGGGCUAAUACCGGAUAGGAGCUCCUGCUGCAUGGUGGGGGUUGGAAAGUUUCGGCGGUUGGGGAUGGACUCGCGGCUUAUCAGCUUGUUGGUGGGGUAGUGGCUUACCAAGGCUUUGACGGGUAGCCGGCCUGAGAGGGUGACCGGCCACAUUGGGACUGAGAUACGGCCCAGACUCCUACGGGAGGCAGCAGUGGGGAAUAUUGCACAAUGGGCGGAAGCCCGAUGCAGCAACGCCGCGUGCGGGAUGACGGCCUUCGGGUUGUAAACCGCUUUCGCCUGUGACGAAGCGUGAGUGACGGUAAUGGGUAAAGAAGCGCCGGCUAACUACGUG
rnacentral:rRNA from 1 species